GGUGAGGUGGCUGAAGUUUAGGUAAUACAUUGUAAAUCUAUUUAUGGGGUGUUCCCCUCUCACCA
rnacentral:tRNA from 1 species